GAUGAACGCUGGCGGCGUGCUUAACACAUGCAAGUCGAACGAAGUUUUAUGAAGGAAGUUUUCGGAUGGAAUUCAUUUUACUUAGUGGCGGACGGGUGAGUAACGCGUGGGUAACCUACCUUAUACAGGGGGAUAACAGUUAGAAAUGACUGCUAAUACCGCAUAAAAUAGCAGCUUCGCAUGAAGUAACUAUCAAAGAUUUAUCGGUAUAAGAUGGACCCGCGUCUGAUUAGCUUGUUGGUGAGGUAGUGGCUCAACAAGGCGACGAUCAGUAGCCGACCUGAGAGGGUGACCGGCCACAUUGGGACUGAGACACGGCCCAAACUCCUACGGGAGGCAGCAGUGGGGAAUAUUGGACAAUGGGCGAAAGCCUGAUCCAGCGACGCCGCGUGAGUGAUGAAGUAUUUCGGUAUGUAAAGCUCUAUCAGCAGGGAAGAAAUUGACGGUACCUGACUAAGAAGCCCCGGCUAACUACGUGCCAGCAGCCGCGGUAAUAC
rnacentral:rRNA from 1 species